rnacentral:rRNA from 1 species
GACGAACGCUGGCGGCGUGCUUAACACAUGCAAGUCGAGCGGUAAGGCCCCUUCGGGGGUACGACGAGCGGCGAACGGGUGAGUAACACGUGGGUGACCUGCCCUCAGCUCUGGGAUAAGCCUGGGAAACUGGGUCUAAUACCGGAUAUGACUCCAUGACGCAUGUCGUGGGGUGGAAAGCCUUGUGCGGCUGGGGAUGGGCCCGCGGCCUAUCAGCUUGUUGGUGGGGUGAUGGCCUACCAAGGCGACGACGGGUAGCCGGCCUGAGAGGGCGACCGGCCACACUGGGACUGAGACACGGCCCAGACUCCUACGGGAGGCAGCAGUGGGGAAUCUUGCGCAAUGGGCGAAAGCCUGACGCAGCGACGCCGCGUGAGGGAUGACGGCCU